UCUCCUGUUCACUACGAAACAGAUUUGGGCCUAGACAUCACCAUCAUAUAAAACAAGGUGUUCCUGAACCUCAGAAUGCAGGCCCCUAAGCACAUGCUCCCCUGAAAGAAGAGUGGCCUUCCUGCCUCCCCAUUCCUGACCAAGAAAUGUGGCCCAGGUCUGGCUAACUGGAAUUCUGGAUACCCUGGUCAGCCAUGAUCGCUCAUGGAUGAUUACGUGGCUUAAGUCAGGCCAGCUAGAACCAGAGACUCAACUUGAAGCCUUUGUCAUAACUACAGGAUUAAAGAAACUCUCUACCUGCUAUUCUUGAAGAUAAUUGGAUGUUUAUCUGGAAAUGCCAGCAGACAUUUUAGCAGAGAAAACUCACCUCAGAAACAUGCCAACCCAGAGGAAAGAAGAGUGAAGAGAUG
rnacentral:lncRNA from 1 species